rnacentral:rRNA from 1 species
GACGAACGCUGGCGGCGUGCUUAACACAUGCAAGUCGAGCGGUAAGGCCCUUUCGGGGGUACGACGAGCGGCGAACGGGUGAGUAACACGUGGGUGACCUGCCCUCAGCUCUGGGAUAAGCCUGGGAAACCGGGUCUAAUACUGGAUAUGACUCCAUGACGCAUGUUGUGGGGUGGAAAGCCUUGUGCGGCUGAGGAUGGGCCCGCGGCCUAUCAGCUUGUUGGUGGGGUGAGGCCUACCAAGGCGACGACGGGUAGCCGGCCUGAGAGGGCGACCGGCCACACUGGGACUGAGACACGGCCCAGACUCCUACGGGAGGCAGCAGGUGGGGAAUCUUGCGCAAUGGGCGAAAGCCUGACGCAGCGACGCCGCGUGAGGGAUGACGGCCU